AGACGGGGCCCGCACAAGCGUGGAGCAUGUGGUUUAAUUCGAAGCAACGCGAAGAACCUUACCAGGUCUUGACAUCCCGAUGCUAUUUCUAGAGAUAGAAAGUUACUUCGGUACAUCGGUGACAGGUGGUGCAUGGUUGUCGCCAGCUCGUGUCGUGAGAUGUUGGGUUAAGUCCCGCAACGAGCGCAACCCCUAUUGUUAGUUGCCAUCAUUCAGUUGGGCACUCUAGCGAGACUGCCGGUAAUAAACCGGAGGAAGGUGGGAUGACGUCAAAUCAUCAUGCCCCUUAUGUUCUGGGCUACACACGUGCUACAAUGGCCGGUACAGACGGACGCAAAGCCGCGAGGUGGAGCAAAUCCUAAAAAGCCGGUCUCAGUUCGGAUUGCAGGCUGCAAUUCGCCUGCAUGAAGUCGGAAUCGCUAGUAAUCGCAGGUCAGCAUACUGCGGUGAGUACGUUCCCGGGCCUU
rnacentral:rRNA from 1 species